UGAAAGUGUAGCGCAGGUUCGAUGUGGAGACAGCUACAUUUUCUGGUCCUCAUCAAGACUGUUACAUAAGUGCCAUUGUUUUGUCUAAUGCAUGGUUUACAACAUGAGAGCCUCAGGUCUAGAAGAAGCUUCAUAUUCUCCUCAGUGUUCUUAGGUUAGCAUUCUAUAACACAGAUCGAUUAUGAUAUAGACAGACAGGUUGUCCUGAAGAUGACCACAAAGCCAGGAACCAUCUCCAACCAGGAACUGCUAACCAGAUACAAGCAAGAGAUUACAGGCAUCAUCAUUAUGAAUAGAAGGAGAUGGUUCAGGCACACUACCGGCAGAUAACAAGACAACCUUCACAAGAACAGCUCUCCACUGGACCCCAGAAGGCUAAUGGUAGUGAGGCAGACUGAAGGACACCCAGAGGCAUACUGCGGAACUGCACCAUGGACUGGGCACUGAAGGUGUUUCAAAACAGAAAGAAGUGGAAAUCCGUUGUUGCGGCACUGCAUGCCAGUCAGCAUCACAGGUAGUAGUAAUAAAUGUAUGAUCAUUUAAUACGUCCAUUUUCCCCAGGUUUUUAUACAGCACAUUAUGAAUAAAAUGAAAACAUUCUGGCUAAAAUGUAUAUUAUUAGAUGAUAAAUCUGUAUCAUGCAGAUUUGAAUAGCAUGCAGCCACCACGCUGAUGCAUUAACAGAAGUGGUGUCAUCUCAUUUGCUCAACCAAUCUGCCACAGGGAGGAAGCAGGGAGCCACAGUUUAUGUCCUAGAAUCAGUGGACUUGGCCCAGCAUGUCACAUUUCACCUUUAUAUACUUACUUAGACGUCAGCUUCCACUAAGAGGAUAUGGGACUUUAAUGACGCUGAGCAGUGCCCAAUAAAAAUUUUAUUGGAAAAUAUAGUUGGAUGAGAAGCCAUUUCAAAUAAAUCCAGUUGCUACAUUGUUUCUACACAUUUCUUGAAAGAAGUUUAUGAGAAACACAUGUUACAUUAGAAACUAUGGAUACCAAUAGAAUAAAUUCAGAUUUGACUAAAUAUAUAUUAUUAAGAACUUGAUACAGGCUCACUGUUUUGGGGGGAACUAAGAAAGGAUAUAGAUUUUUUAUUUAUGAAUGCACUGCAUACUGGAACCUAUAUAAUUGCGAGUAUUAUUGUUAGUUUCAGUCCAUCUAACAAUAUACAAAGGAGGGAAUUGCUCAAAAAUCAGAUUCUAGUCUUCGUUCCCACCUAUUCAUAUUUACUGUUAUAUCUGUAUGUUGUUGGACGGCUUUGUACCUUGACAUUGAUAUCCGAUUCGCAUAACAUAAAUUAGCUUAUACAUUAAUACAGUACAUGUUCAGAAAAAUAAAGGGAUUUUAAUACAAAA